GUGCUCACUUUGGCAGCACAUACACCAUGAAAUGAUAUGGAGAAGAUUAGCAUGGCCCCUGUGCAAGGAUGACACACAAAUCCAGGAACAGUUCCAUAUUUUU